GUAGCGAAGUAGCUGAUUUCACACUGUCGAGAAAAGUCUCUAUCGAGGUUAAAGGUGCCUGUACCGCAAACCGACACAGGUGGGUGAGGAGAGUAUCCUAAGGCCAGCGAGAGAACUGUUGUUAAGGAACUCGGCAAAAUGACCCCGUAACUUAGGGAGAAGGGGUGCCUUCGAAAGAAGGCCGCAGAGAAUAGGCCCAAGCGACUGUUUACCAAAAACAUAGGUUUCUGCUAAGUCGCAAGACGAUGUAUAGGAGCUGACGCCUGCCCGGUGCUGGAAGGUUAAGGGGAUCUGUUAGAGCAAUCGAAGCAGUGAACUUAAGCCCCAGUAAACGGCGGCCGUAACAAUAACGGUCCUAAGGUAGCGAAAUUCCUUGUCGGGUAAGUUCCGACCCGCACGAAAGGCGUAACGAUUUGGGCACUGUCUCAACAACAGACUCGGUGAAAUUGUAAUACCGGUGAAGAUGCCGGUUACCUGCGACAGGACGGAAAGACCCCAUGGAGCUUUACUGUAGCUUGACAUUGAGUCUCGGUGCUACAUGUACAGGAUAGGUGGGAGACUAUGAAGCAUGGACGUCAGUCUGUGUGGAGUCAUCCUUGGGAUACCACCCUUGUAGUACUGGGAUUCUAACCAGAGGCCAUGAAUCUGGUCUUGGGACACUGUCAGGUGGACAGUUUGACUGGGGCGGUCGCCUCCCAAAAAGUAACGGAGGCGCUCAAAGGUUCUCUCAGUACGGUCGGAAAUCGUACGAAGAGUGUAAAGGCAAAAGAGAGCUUGAUUGCAAGACAUACAGGUCGAGCAAGGACGAAAGUCGGACUUAGUGAUCCGGUGGUUCCGCAUGGAAGGGCCAUCGCUCAACGGAUAAAAGCUACCCUGGGGAUAACAGGCUGAUCUCCCCCAAGAGUUCACAUCGACGGGGAGGUUUGGCACCUCGAUGUCGGCUCAUCACAUCCUGGGGCUGUAGUAGGUCCCAAGGGUUGGGCUGUUCGCCCAUUAAAGUGGUACGCGAGCUGGGUUCAGAACGUCGUGAGACAGUUCGGUCCCUAUCCGUCGCAGGCGUAGGAAAUUUGAGGAGACCUGUCCUUAGUACGAGAGGACCGGGAUGGACGUACCGCUGGUGUACCAGUUGUUCUGCCAAGGGCAUGGCUGGGUAGCUAAGUACGGAAAGGAUAAGCGCUGAAAGCAUCUAAGCGCGAAGCCCACUUCAAGAUAAGAUUUCCCACCGCAAGGUUAAGAUCCCAGGAAGACUACCUGGUUGAUAGGUCAGAGGUGUAAGUGUAGUAAUAUAUUUAGCUUACUGAUACUAAUAGAUCGAGGACUUGACC
rnacentral:rRNA from 1 species